CUUCCGGGGGCAGAGGUGCUAGAAGCCGGGUGGUGCGUGGGCUAUCCCAACUUGUGCUGGGGUCGCGGUCCCCCCGACGGGUUUGGGGUCGUGCCCCGGGUGUGCGCGUGCGGGGCCGUCGGCUGGGGUAGCUCACCUGGCAGUUUGGGUGAGCGGCGCGGAGGCGGCGGCGGCGGGAGCCAGAGCGGGGAGCAGGUUUCAGCCCUUGCACGUUCCAGAAUCGAAUAUUUCCGAACGUCUGCGGACAAGUACACGUGAUUGUUGUGUCACCGAAGCUCCCACCGGACGGAGACUUAGAUCCUUGCCGAGUGUUCACCGAUGGCGCCCGAUUUAUGUUUCCCCCUCUGCUUUGCUGUGUUCCACCGGCGUAAAAGCUCUGCAGUGUCCGUUAGCCGCAUUACCUGAUACGUACCCUGGGCCACAUGUUGCAAUACAAGGGGCAUUUUGGGGCUAAGGCGGGAGCCGGUAACUUUCCAAGUGCUGAGGCAUCCUUCAUCCCUUUAAGUGCGCCCCCUUUCCCCACAAUAAAGAUGUUUCUUCCAUCUGUCCAA